AUGUGGUACCACGGAGUGAUCCCGUACAUGAACUCCCACAGCGUGAGCUCUGCUCAGUCUGACAUCAGCGAGAGCUUCCUGACGGUGAAGGGCGCCGCUGUCUUCCUGCCUCGGGGAAAUGGCUCCUCCCCUUCCUCGGCGCCCCGCAUCAGCCAGCGGCGGAACAAACACACAGGUGACCUCCAGCAGCACCUGCAGACCAUGUUCACUGUGCUGCGGCCAGAAGACAGCAUCCGCCUGGCUGUGCGCCUGGAGAGUGCGUACGCUCAGCCUCAGUGCACGCGUUACAUGGUGGUGGUGUCCACCAAUGGGAGACAGGACACUGAGGAGAGCGUGGUGCUGGGCCUGGACUUUGGCUCUUCAGACAGCUCAUGCACAAUGGGGCUGGUUCUACCUCUGUGGAGCGACACACUGAUCCACUUGGACGGAGAUGGGGGCUUCAGUGUGUCCACGGUCAACAGGGUCCAUGUCUUCAAACCGGUCUCUGUCCAGGCCAUGUGGUCUGCCCUGCAGUCGCUCCACAAGGCGUGUGAGGUGGCCCGCUGUCACAACUACUACCCCAGCAGUCUGUUCCUGACCUGGGUCAGCUACUACCAGAGCCAAGUCUCCUCCGACCAGGUCUGCAUCAACGAGUGGAACGCCAUGCAGGACGUCCAGUCCCACCGCGCCGACUCGCCCGUCCUCUUCACUGACGUGCCCACAGAGAGGGAGCGCACGGAGAGGUUGAUCAAGACUCGCCUCAGAGAGAUCAUGAUGCAGAAAGACCUGGAGAAUGUCACCUCUAAAGAGAUUCGCACAGAGCUGGAGAUGCAGAUGGUGUGCAACCUUCGGGAGUUCAAGGAGUUUAUUGACAACGAGAUGAUCGUCAUCCUGGGUCAGAUGGACAGCCCCACAGAGAUCUUUGACCAUGUUUACCUGGGCUCUGAGUGGAAUGCUUCCAACUUGGAGGAGCUGCAGACCAGCGGUGUGAGGUACAUCCUCAACGUGACGCGGGAGAUCGACAACUUCUUCCCAGGCAUGUUUGAGUACCACAACAUCCGCGUGUACGACGAGGAGGCCACCAACCUGCUGGAGUACUGGAACGACACCUACAAGUUCAUCACCAAGGCCAGGAAAGCAGGGGCUAAGUGCCUAGUCCACUGUAAGAUGGGUGUGAGUCGCUCGGCCUCCACGGUGAUAGCUUACGCCAUGAAGGAGUACGGCUGGGACCUGGAGAGGGCCUUCGACUACGUCAAGGAGCGCCGCGGCGUCACCAAGCCCAACCCCUCCUUCAUGAAGCAGCUGGAGGAGUACCAGGGUAUCCUGCUGGCCAGUAAACAGAGGCACAACAAGUUGUGGCGCUCCCACUCGGACAGCGACCUCUCAGAGCGCCACGAGGCUCCGCUGUGUAAGACGGGCCCUCACAGCCACACCCUGGGCCUCUCGGAACCACACAACAACAAUGGCCCCACGCCCUCCCUGCAACACUUCCUGCUCCAGCGUGUAGAGCUGACCCUGGAUCUGCCUGACCUCAGCAGCUCGGAGGUCGUAUCUCAGGCCACCCUGGAGUCCAGCGAUGACUCGGACACCCUGGGACGCUCCCUGUCAGACCCGCUGAGCGAGAGGGGGGACAGUGUCAGUAUGAUGUCCCCAGGGACCCCCAUGGCCGUGAGCCCUCUCACUCCAACAGCGCCUCGGUCUUUAGGACCCUACGCCAACGAUGACAACAACAACCCCAGCGGGAGCGGUGACACAGACACUAUCCCCGCUAACCCUGUCGACGCCACAUGCAUCACCGCGUCCUCCAACCUCGGCACGGACAGCAUCGACUUCUUCAGCGCCCGUGAGAAAUUCCUGGGCCUGUCCCAAGACGGGAAGACCCGGACUCUUUCCGAGCAGAUGGCUCAGCGGACGCCUCAGUCACGGUGCCCCAGCCAGGAGCUGCAGCCGCUGUCCCCCGAGAACCCUGCUGGUGCACUGCCACCACUGCCAAGCACAGAGGAAGAGGAUCACGAAAAAGCCUCGUCGCCUCCCCAUCACGAGAACGGGGUGUCAGUCCGCCAUAUUGUCACGGAGAUAGAGUCCAUAUCCCACCCGCCGGCGGCGCCCCUCUCCUCCAGCCAGCCGGCCCCCCGCAGCCCCCAGCAGCUGCACCCAGACGACCGGGACGAGGAGACCCCAUUGACCUCGCCCUCCUCCUACCCACAAUCCCCCUCCACGCCUCUGUCGGAUUGGCCGACCGGCUCGGUGCGCAGGGCCACCAAACAGCUGGAGCAGAGGCUGAGGCAGGAGCUGGACUUAGCUCUCAGCAACACGUCUACCCAACGCUCCCCUCUCCACUCUCCCAGUGCAGAGUUCCACCCCACGGGCUCCCCUCUCCAUACGCCAAGCACGGACUGCCCACCCCUCCUCGCUCCUACCACAGACUGCCCCAAGCAGCGUAGGCCUACCCCUGAUCCUGAGCAAGGAAGAACUCUGAACGAGGCGUUCACUGUGUCGGCAGAGCCCAAAGGAGAGACGGAGCAGGGAGGGUUUGUCGUCUCAGACAUGGACGUUGCCCCAGCCCCUUCCUUCUCUCACUACCCAGAUGCCAGCCACACCCCUGAGCCCAUCCCAAUCAUCGCAUGUUCUUCUCUAGCGCCAUCUAGGGUCCAGCCCCAGACCCCCCCUGCACUGCUGUGGCUGGAGGGGGUGACGGCCCUUGACUCAGACACGGAUGGCCCCUCCCCUCCCCCGCCCCACGAUGGAAGGCUGGCCCUGGCACGCAGCAGUGAGGAGCUGGAGAAGAUCCAGGAGACUCUGAGGGAGCUGCAGGCCUUCCUGUACGAGGCGGGGGGCCUGGGGGCUGGAGAGAGACCUGGUCAGGGGCAGCAUCACAGGGAGACUCCCGUGUGGCAGAGGGCCAUGGAGAUCGAGGCGCGGAUCCGCCAAGCGGGCCUCACGCCCCCCUCCUUGAUGAAGCGCUCAGCCUCGCUGGCCAAGCUGGACUGCCUGGAGCUGUCAGCCAACGACCUGAGUGACUGGGACCUACGGCCCACCACCAAGCAGCGGGUGUUGACUGAUAGGGGCUCCCAGAGUGCAGGGAGUGAUCCUCCCUGUCUCUCCUCACCUCCAUGUCUUGUUCUUCAAGGGGAGGAGGAGCUAGAGACAGACCCCUCCCCCCGGCUCACCCGCACCCAGUCCCCGGCGAGCGCUCCCGACGUCACUAUGACAACCGCGCUGCAGCAACCCCGCGGGAAGAGUCACCCGCUGCGGCGGCUCCGCAAGGCUGCCGACAAGAAACGGACUGCCACUGUUCUCUACCACACCAUGUGA
rnacentral:lncRNA from 1 species